rnacentral:tRNA from 1 species
GCCCGGGUGGCGAAAUGGUAGACGCAGGGGACUUAAAAUCCCCCGACGCAGGUCGUGCGGGUUCGAGUCCCGCCCCGGGCACCA